rnacentral:lncRNA from 1 species
UUCCCCCAACUGGUUUCUGAUCUUAGGAAGGGGACGGCUCCAGAAAUAGCCCUGUCCCUGGUUCUUCAAGCUAAGACAUGCCAACCUAAGGCCUCCUGCAUCCGGAAUGGGCACGGUUCCAGGGGAGGGAGGUGGUUUUCUACCUCUAUGCAGUGGGCGGUCUUGGCAGCGGGCAGGUGCAGCCAGCCUCCCUGGGAAAAAAAAAGUCUCAACUGUAGAAAUUGGAUGGCUCCCGAGAUGUGUUUUAAGUCACUGCAGUCGUUACACAAGGUAAGAUACCCUUUGUUCCCGUGUCAUAAACGGUCCGCUAAGGAGUGUUCAAAGACCUACGGCCCUCCGACUUGGCCGUAAAAUUAAGACUAAUCUCCAGACCGCUUGCUCUGGGCUUGGUUGUCAACUGCGUGGCCAGCCCAAGCGUUGAAGUGCUUUGUGUGUGUGCUAAUUUUUGAUAAGCUCCCAUAAAGCCAGGUUGCUCCUAAUAACAGGCUUCUCGUGUGCCCAUGAAGGACCACGAGCUGGGCUAACCACAAACCUCAAAAGAACUAUUCUGUUGUUUGAGGUUUCCAGAAAAAAGAAAGCUCUUUUAUUCUUGCCAUUAGAGUAAAGGUCUUCGGAAAACCUCAUUUUUCAAAGAGUCUCUGGCGUGACCGCACAGGUCAUAAACACCCCUGGCCUAUGUAUUUUCCUGCUUUCUUUUUAAGGCAUGUCAUGCACUUCAGAAUUACACCUUAAGAGACACAUACAGCUGGAGGAGUGACCCCACAUAACAUUCCCCAAAUAAUCCCUGUUAAAUACAGUAUCAUCUUUUUUGGCUAGAUCUUUCCUGAGCAUCUCAUUCGUUGUAUCUAAAGAGCUGCCUUUCUCUCUUUACAACGUGUCUGCAUGGACUUGGGAGGAGUAAGAACGGGGAGAGAGAGUCUGGAUCAAGUCAAGACUGAAUCGUCAGGUCCUGGGAAGGUGCCACCACUUCUCAAGGAGUCCAGCUUGUUGCUUCCAAGUGAAGUCCCCUCCUUGGAGGAACAAGUGCUUUCAAGAAAGCUCACAGUGGGCCAUAGCCUGUCACCCACUUUCUGCUGCCACCCAGCCACGCAGCUCAAAGGGGUGCCAUUAUUCAGCACAGCUAUGUCAGCAGUGGGUGUGGGGCCUGAGCUGUGCCCCCUGCCCCUUCACCCCCCACACACACACACAAAGAAGUAGGUUGAAGCCCUAAGCCCUGGUGCCAGCGAAUGUGGCCUUAUUGGAAAUGUGAUCAAGUUCAGACCCAUCAACGGUGUCAGAUGAGCCCUGGGUCCAUGAGCUGUGUCCUUGGGAGAAGAUGCAGAUGGGGCUCUGACAGCCCAGGAAGACAAGGCUGGUAGGCAGCCACCAGAAACCAGGGAGAGGCCAGCAAGGAGCUUCCUCCAAAACCCCAAGAAGGAACCAGUGGGGUGGACACCUCGAUUUCAGACUUCUGGCAUCCACAAGUGUGGGGCACUAAUUCUGUUGUUGCUGUUGUUGUUGUUUUAUGGCCACACCUGUGAGAUAUGCAAGUUCCCCAGCCAGGGAUUGAAUUUGAGCUGCAGCUGUGACCUGCAGCACAGCCAGAUCCCUUAAACCACUGAGCCGGGCUGGGGAUCAAACCUGAGCCUCGGCAGCAACCUGGAGCUACUGUAGUUGGAUCCAUUCCUUUCCUUUCCUUUGUCUUUUGAGGGCCACACCCCCAGCAUAUGGAAGUUCCCAGGCUAGAAGUUGAAUCGGAGCUGCAGCUGCCAGUCUAUGCCACAGCCACAGCAACUCAGGAUCUGAAAUGUGUCUUUGACCUACACCACGGCUCACCGCAACGCUGGAUCCUUAACCCACUGAGCGGGGCCAGCAUCCUCAUGGAUACCAGUUGAGUGCAUAACCACCUAGCAAUAGGGGGAACUCCGUGCCAUUGGAUUCUUAAUCACUGCACUGCAGCAAGAACUCCUAAUUUCUGUUGCUUUAAACCACCCGGUCUGCAGUGCUUUGGGACAGCAGCCAUUCAACACAAAUGCCCUGAGUGAGACCCUGAAAGGCCCCUUUUGAUCACUUGCAUAUGCAAAAGCAGCCGCCUAGCUGGUCUGCGUCCUUCUUUGCUAAUCUUUGCAUCUUUCAUCUCAUUUGAGCUUCAGAUCUGAGGAAGACCCAGCAAGGCCCUGUUGGGAUUGAACUGGCUCCGCAGGGAACAAAACGAGAU